rnacentral:rRNA from 1 species
AGUGAACGCUGGCGGUAGGCCUAACACAUGCAAGUCGAACGCCAGCACCGUAAGAGCUUGUUCUUUCGGUUGGCGAGUGACGGACGGGUAAGGAAUACAUCGGCAUCUACUUUUUCUUGGGUGAUAACGUAGGGAAACUUCCGCUAAUACCUCAUACGACCUCCUGGUGAAAGCAGGGGAUCUUCGGACCUUUCUCGUUUGAGUUAGCCGAUGUCGGAUUCGCUAUUUGGCGGGGUUAAGGCCCACCAAGGCGACGAUCCGUUGCGGGUCUGAGAGGAUGAACAGCCACACUGGAAAUGAGACACGGUCCAGACUCCUAAGGGAGGCAGCAGUGGGGAAUAGUGAACAAUGGGCGCAAGCCGGAUCCAGCCAGAACGCGUGGGUGAAGAAGGCUGGCGGGUUGUAAAGCGCUUUUGUUGGGAAAGAAAAGUAGAAGGUUAAUAGCGCGCUGUUGUGACGGUACCCAAAGAAUAAGCACCGGCUAACUUCGUG